AUAAAACAUAAUAAAGGAUGUUACAGGAUAGUGGACAUUCAACAGCAGAUGGUAAUUGCUGGACUUCUGAUGGGAGAGUUACAUCGUUGUACAGAGCCAAGAGCCAAGCCAAGACUGAGAGACCUCGUGUCCCUCUGUUACUAUAUAGAUGUGCUAAUACUAACGUCAUCAUAUAACUCUAGCCAUAUAAGGACAAACCCCCCACAUCCACAUUCCAGAGCUCUCGGACAAAGAAAGCCUUGUGACUUAUUGAUACCAUCUGUUACUUAUGCCAAUCCACACAUCCAUA